CCUGCCAUGGCCGAGUCGUUAAGGCGUCUGACUAAAAAUCAGAUGUGGUCUUCACGCGCAGGUUCGAAUCCUGCUGGUUGUGA